UACAGAGACUGCAAGCGUUAUUCGGAUUCACUGGGCGUAAAGGGUGCGCAGGCGGCCGAGUGUGUGAGGCGUGAAAGCCCGGGGCUUAACCCCGGAAUUGCACCUCAAACUACACGGCUAGAGCAUUGGAGAGGGUAGCAGAAUUCAUGGUGUAGCAGUGAAAUGCGUAGAUAUCAUGAGGAAUACCAGAGGCGAAGGCGGCUACCUGGACAAUUGCUGACGCUCAGGCACGAAAGCGUGGGGAGCGAACGGG
rnacentral:rRNA from 1 species